rnacentral:lncRNA from 1 species
GCCAGCGGCGAGCACUGGCUUGCUUCACAGUGAACGCCUUCGUUGCCUGGCGACUAGUCCCUGCGGCUUAGCGGAGAGGGGGCGUCGGCGUUGGGCUCUCGCCUGUCUUCUCUGGGGGGAUCCUCGGGAUACUCCCACGAUCUAGGACAGGGCAGGGGCGAGCCAGCCUGAGGAAACGUCAAGGGAAGGCCCAGGGAUACACCGCGAAAUCCCUAAGAAUCCAAAAGGAUCCGCAGGAGGCGUCAGGCCUGCCUAGACGGAGUGGGCACUUAGCACCUGCCCGCCCUCCACCUUCUCCACCACCCAGCAGGAGCGGGGCGGCCUGGAUCUGUUUUCUGCCCCUGACCAGGGGGCCGCGUCUUCGGCAAAGUCUUCGGGGUGAGAGGUCCGGCUCCUGGAGGACAGCGGGAUGGGAGAGUCCCGUUCACACCCAGCCCCGCAGAGCCGGAUAGAAACGCUGCCACUGCCGACUCCAUGCUGCCGGGAAGUGCACUGUGGAGGCCACUUUCUGGAAAGAAGAAACCGUCUGAACACAAAGUUGCUCAAGCCAUGUUCAUCUAUCUGCCAGGGAAACGGAGGCCCUGAGUGCCAGAGUCCAAGUCACCCUGCAAGAGAAAACUCUGGUGGAGCCCAGGGUGUCCAGCCCCUGUCCACCCAGCCGCCGUGGUCAAGGUUAAUAAGGGCAAGGGGCCAAGCAGAACCGCCUACAAGGAACCGAGUGUCCACAAAGCAGGAAGCGAAGAACGUUUCUCCUACCUAGAGCGCAGCCGUUUUGCGGAAGGCACAGUCCGGGCUCCGGGAGCCAAGCAGGGAUCCGGGCCUCGUUGCGGAGGGGACGCCCGGGCUGAGCUGAGCUCACUUGCUGGCGGCGGCAGCCCCUGCAGUCAUGGGGUCACCGGCUUGUGGAGAGGGGCUGGCGCUGUUCCUUGGCCCCGCUCCCCGCCCGCAAAGGGCCGGGAGGUCGGGCUCCCGGCAGUGUCCAGGCUCUCGCCCGCCGGUGCCUGAGCCGUACCCACCGCGUCCCCUCCGCCCCAACAGCUGGUGCUGAGGGUCCGGCCCGGGGUCAUCUGGCAGGGCCGUGCGGCUCCUGCGGGUGACCAGGAGCGCGGAGCCCCUUCCCACUCGGGCUCGGGUGGCCUCACCUUUCCUGGGGCUGCGUCCCCGCGGGACGCCAGGUUCCCGGUUUCUUCUAGGUCGCCCUGGUUCCUGGCAGCUCCUGGUGCCACGCGGUCCUCUACGGUCUCCUCUGACCUGAGAGGGACAGUGAGAUGGGGCUGGCGGGGAUGGGGGUCCCCGCGCUGUUGGAAAGCAGCGGGGCUGCUGCUGACCGGAGCCGCCUGGGUCUGUUCUGGAACCGUCGCCCUGGGGCCCCUCCGCCCCGCAAACGCUCGGGAUGCGGUUUGGGAGUGUAGCUGGACACCGAGCACCAUCCACGCUCAGCCCCACGGGGCUCCAGGAGUCCCGAGCCCAAGCCCCUGCACUUGCAUUUUAUUUAAAAAACCUGAGGGUUAAAUUCGGGCAAGUCAGUUGCCUCAGUGUUUGUCGCCUGCUGCCUCUAUGUCGGCUUCUUUUGCUGGCAGUCAGAGACCAAGCCCCCACGCCCUCCAGGACCCUCUAUCUGGUGAGGCCACCUCUGCAAUCAUGAGCAGCACUGAGGUGCUUCCGACCAGGGGUCACUGCCCCAGCCGGUGAGAGGCCCUGCAGUGGGGACUGGAGAUGUGCGACGCAGCCUCCCAGAGCCCGCAUCCUCUUGCCCAAGGAGGCUGCACACCCUCACUCAGGGCUGUGAGGGGGAAUGAGGGCAGCUCACAGGCUAAGGGGCCGCUGAAGACAGGUUUUGUGGACAGGUGAUUUAGGAGCCUGGAGGAAGCAGAAAUCUUUAGAGAUGGAUCAUUUUCCUUACAAGAAUAGAUACCAGGGCCGGUAUGAACAUGUCAUGCAGUCUCCAAGCAACCCACAGUAGGCCCACCAUAAACAGAUGUUGUGGCCAGCAUGGGAGGUGCAAUGGUGAGUUGCUCUGUUUCCUCCCUCCCGUCCCCCUCCCCACCCCUCCCCUCCCCCUCCCCUCCCCCUCCCCUCCCUUCCCCUUCCCUUCCCUUCCUCUCUCACAAAACAGUCACAGAGAGAGGACAGCAGCGUACAUGGUGAGGUGCUGACGAUUCUGGUCCACUGGAUCCCACCAUCCCUAGGACAGUAAAUACCGUCCUAGUCACUACCCAGCAAGUUACCACCGCAUCAUUUCCUGCAUGUUCCAAAAUGAAU